rnacentral:rRNA from 1 species
GNAGGGUGCAAGCGUUAAUCGGAAUNACUGGGCGUAAAGCGUGCGCAGGCGGUAAUGUAAGACAGUNGUGAAAUCCCCGGGCUCAACCUGGGAACUGCAUCUGUGACUGCAUUGCUGGAGUACGGCAGAGGGGGAUGGAAUUCCGCGUGUAGCAGUGAAAUGCGUAGAUAUGCGGAGGAACACCGAUGGCGAAGGCAAUCCCCUGGGCCUGUACUGACGCUCAUGCACGAAAGCGUGGGGAGCAAACAGGAUUAGAUACCCUGGUAGUCCACGCCCUAAACGAUGUCAACUGGUUGUUGGGAAUUCACUUUCCCAGUAACGAAGCUAACGCGUGAAGUUGACCGCCUGGGGAGU